rnacentral:rRNA from 1 species
GUAGGUGGCAAGCGUUGUCCGGAAUUAUUGGGCGUAAAGCGCGCGCAGGCGGUUCUUUAAGUCUGAUGUGAAAGCCCACGGGCUCAACCGUGGAGGGUCAUUGGAAACUGGAGAACUUGAGUACAGAAGAGGAAAGCGGAAUUCCACGUGUAGCGGUGAAAUGCGUAGAGAUGUGGAGGAACACCAGUGGCGAAGGCGGCCUUCUGGUCUGUAACUGACGCUGAGGCGCGAAAGCGUGGGGAGCAAACAGGAUUAGAUACCCUGGUAGUCCACGCCGUAAACGAUGAGUGCUAAGUGUUAGGGGGUUUCCGCCCCUUAGUGCUGCAGCUAACGCGUUAAGCACUCCGCCUGGGGAGUACGGCCGCAAAGGCUG